UCUCCGGAUUGAAGUUUUUGUGACUGAGUGGCGGACGGGUGAGUAACGCGUGGGUAACCUGCCUCAUACAGGGGGAUAACAGUUAGAAAUGACUGCUAAUACCGCAUAAGCGCACAGUGCUGCAUGGCACAGUGUGAAAAACUCCGGUGGUAUGAGAUGGACCCGCGUCUGAUUAGCUAGUUGGUGGGGUAAUGGCCUACCAAGGCGACGAUCAGUAGCCGGCCUGAGAGGGUGAACGGCCACAUUGGGACUGAGACACGGCCCAAACUCCUACGGGAGGCAGCAGUGGGGAAUAUUGCACAAUGGGGGAAACCCUGAUGCAGCGACGCCGCGUGAGCGAAGAAGUAUUUCGGUAUGUAAAGCUCUAUCGGCAGGGAAGAAAAUGACGGUACCUGACUAAGAAGCACCGGCUAAAUACGUGCCAGCAGCCGCGGUAAUACGUAUGGUGCAAGCGUUAUCCGGAUUUACUGGGUGUAAAGGGAGCGUAGACGGUUGUGUAAGUCUGAUGUGAAAGCCCGGGGCUCGACCCCGGGACUGCAUUGGAAACUAUGUAACUAGAGUGUCGGAGAGGUAAGCGGAAUUCCUAGUGUAGCGGUGAAAUGCGUAGAUAUUAGGAGGAACACCAGUGGCGAAGGCGGCUUACUGGACGAUCACUGACGUUGAGGCUCGAAAGCGUGGGGAGC
rnacentral:rRNA from 1 species